UGUGUAAGGAAUUCUGCCUUUAUUUUAGAAGUUGAAUGUUUUAACAAUGUUAAUUUAAUUGCUCUAAAAAGUGGUUCAUCUUAUUGGUGGUUCUGGCCUGAUACUGUGUUAAGGGAGUCAUUUCCGUUACAAGCUAAGCCACCGGUCAAUCUCUUUUUUUUUAUUCUUCAAUUUCCUUUUUUCUGUUCUGGAGAGGAUUUAUUAGGCCUCAUCUUAUAUUUAUUUGUUUACAAAGGAAAUAGUAAAUAAAAUUUAUUUGAGAAAGGAUUCACUUCCUAAUUAGUAAAUAAAUUUUAUUUUAAAAAAGGAUUCAUGCUGCAAACCAGUGAAAUUGAUAAUAUUGAUGAUUGCGAUUUUUUCAAUAGUACUACUAAAGAGGGAGUAAUAGAGUAGUGCUCUUUAUAUUUCACAUACACUGAAAAUCCACUUGAUUAGUUACAAAUGAACAAAAAGAUGAAAGUGUAUGAGAAACGGACGGAAUCGGGUGGGUCAGAUUUGUGUAAGUACUUUCUGCGUUUAUUUUAGAAGUUGAAUGUUUUAACAAUGUUAAUUUAAUUGCUCUAAAAAGUUGUUCAUCUAAUUGGUGGUUCUGGCCUGAUACUGUGGUAAGGGAGUCAUUUCCGUUACAAGCUAAACCACUGGUCAAUUUUUUUUCUCUCUCCUUCAAUUUCCUUUUUUCUGUUCUGAAAAGGAGUUAUUAGGCCUCAUCUUAUAUUUAUUUGUUUACAAAUGAAAUAUUAAAUGAAAUUUAUUUAAGAAAGGAUUCACUUCCUAAUUAGUAAAUAAAUUUUAUUUUAGAAAAGGAUUCAUGCUGCAAACCAGUAUAAUUGAUAAUAUUGAUGAUUGCGAUUUUUUCAAUAGUACUACUAAAGAGGGAGUAAUAGAGUAGUGCUCUUUAUAUUUCACAAACACUGAAAAUCCACUUGAUUAGUUACAAAUGAACAAAAAGAUGAAAGUGUAUCGGAAACGGACGGAAUUGGGUGGGUCAGAUUUGUGUAAGGACUUUCUGCCUUUAUUUUAGAAGUUGAAUGUUUUAACAAUGUUAAUUUAAUUGCUCUAAAAAGUUGUUCAUCUUAUUGGUGGUUCUGGCCUGAUACUGUGUUAAGGGAGUCAUUUCCGUUACAAGCUAAGCCACCGGUCAAUCUCUUUUUUUUUAUUCUUCAAUUUCCUUUUUUCUGUUCUGGAGAGGAUUUAUUAGGCCUCAUCUUAUAUUUAUUUGUUUACAAAGGAAAUAGUAAAUAAAAUUUAUUUGAGAAAGGAUUCACUUCCUAAUUAGUAAAUAAAUUUUAUUUUAAAAAAGGAUUCAUGCUGCAAACCAGUGAAAUUGAUAAUAUUGAUGAUUGCGAUUUUUUCAAUAGUACUACUAAAGAGGGAGUAAUAGAGUAGUGCUCUUUAUAUUUCACAUACACUGAAAAUCCACUUGAUUAGUUACAAAUGAACAAAAAGAUGAAAGUGUAUGAGAAACGGACGGAAUCGGGUGGGUCAGAUUUGUGUAAGUACUUUCUGCGUUUAUUUUAGAAGUUGAAUGUUUUAACAAUGUUAAUUUAAUUGCUCUAAAAAGUUGUUCAUCUAAUUGGUGGUUCUGGCCUGAUACUGUGGUAAGGGAGUCAUUUCCGUUACAAGCUAAACCACUGGUCAAUUUUUUUUCUCUCUCCUUCAAUUUCCUUUUUUCUGUUCUGAAAAGGAGUUAUUAGGCCUCAUCUUAUAUUUAUUUGUUUACAAAUGAAAUAUUAAAUGAAAUUUAUUUAAGAAAGGAUUCACUUCCUAAUUAGUAAAUAAAUUUUAUUUUAGAAAAGGAUUCAUGCUGCAAACCAGUAUAAUUGAUAAUAUUGAUGAUUGCGAUUUUUUCAAUAGUACUACUAAAGAGGGAGUAAUAGAGUAGUGCUCUUUAUAUUUCACAAACACUGAAAAUCCACUUGAUUAGUUACAAAUGAACAAAAAGAUGAAAGUGUAUCGGAAACGGACGGAAUUGGGUGGGUCAGAUUUGUGUAAGGACUUUCUGCCUUUAUUUUAGAAGUUGAAUGUUUUAACAAUGUUAAUUUAAUUGCUCUAAAAAGUUGUUCAUCUUAUUGGUGGUUCUGGCCUGAUACUGUGUUAAGGGAGUCAUUUCCGUUACAAGCUAAGCCACCGGUCAAUCUCUUUUUUUUUAUUCUUCAAUUUCCUUUUUUCUGUUCUGGAGAGGAUUUAUUAGGCCUCAUCUUAUAUUUAUUUGUUUACAAAGGAAAUAGUAAAUAAAAUUUAUUUGAGAAAGGAUUCACUUCCUAAUUAGUAAAUAAAUUUUAUUUUAAAAAAGGAUUCAUGCUGCAAACCAGUGAAAUUGAUAAUAUUGAUGAUUGCGAUUUUUUCAAUAGUACUACUAAAGAGGGAGUAAUAGAGUAGUGCUCUUUAUAUUUCACAUACACUGAAAAUCCACUUGAUUAGUUACAAAUGAACAAAAAGAUGAAAGUGUAUGAGAAACGGACGGAAUCGGGUGGGUCAGAUUUGUGUAAGUACUUUCUGCGUUUAUUUUAGAAGUUGAAUGUUUUAACAAUGUUAAUUUAAUUGCUCUAAAAAGUUGUUCAUCUAAUUGGUGGUUCUGGCCUGAUACUGUGGUAAGGGAGUCAUUUCCGUUACAAGCUAAACCACUGGUCAAUUUUUUUUCUCUCUCCUUCAAUUUCCUUUUUUCUGUUCUGAAAAGGAGUUAUUAGGCCUCAUCUUAUAUUUAUUUGUUUACAAAUGAAAUAUUAAAUGAAAUUUAUUUAAGAAAGGAUUCACUUCCUAAUUAGUAAAUAAAUUUUAUUUUAGAAAAGGAUUCAUGCUGCAAACCAGUAUAAUUGAUAAUAUUGAUGAUUGCGAUUUUUUCAAUAGUACUACUAAAGAGGGAGUAAUAGAGUAGUGCUCUUUAUAUUUCACAAACACUGAAAAUCCACUUGAUUAGUUACAAAUGAACAAAAAGAUGAAAGUGUAUCGGAAACGGACGGAAUUGGGUGGGUCAGAUUUGUGUAAGGACUUUCUGCCUUUAUUUUAGAAGUUGAAUGUUUUAACAAUGUUAAUUUAAUUGCUCUAAAAAGUUGUUCAUCUUAUUGGUGGUUCUGGCCUGAUACUGUGUUAAGGGAGUCAUUUCCGUUACAAGCUAAGCCACCGGUCAAUCUCUUUUUUUUUAUUCUUCAAUUUCCUUUUUUCUGUUCUGGAGAGGAUUUAUUAGGCCUCAUCUUAUAUUUAUUUGUUUACAAAGGAAAUAGUAAAUAAAAUUUAUUUGAGAAAGGAUUCACUUCCUAAUUAGUAAAUAAAUUUUAUUUUAAAAAAGGAUUCAUGCUGCAAACCAGUGAAAUUGAUAAUAUUGAUGAUUGCGAUUUUUUCAAUAGUACUACUAAAGAGGGAGUAAUAGAGUAGUGCUCUUUAUAUUUCACAUACACUGAAAAUCCACUUGAUUAGUUACAAAUGAACAAAAAGAUGAAAGUGUAUGAGAAACGGACGGAAUUGGGUGGGUCAGAUUUGUGUAAGUACUUUCUGCGUUUAUUUUAGAAGUUGAAUGUUUUAACAAUGUUAAUUUAAUUGCUCUAAAAAGCUGUUCAUCUUAUUGGUGGUUCUGGCCUGAUACUGUGUUAAGGGAGUCAUUUCCGUUACAAGCUAAACCACCGGUCAAUUUCUUUUUUGUUCUCUUCUUCAAUUUCCUUUUUUCUGUUCUGGAGAGGAUUUAUUAGGCGUCAUCUUAUAUUUAGUUGUUUACAAAGGAAAUAGUAAAUAAAAUUUAUUUAAGAAAGGAUUCAUUUCCUAAUUAGUAACUAAUUUUUAUUUUAAAAAAGGAUUCAUGCUGCAAACCGGUGAAAUUGACAAUAUUGAUGAUUGCGAUUUUUUCAAUAGUACUACUAAAGAGGGAGUAAUAGAGUAGUGCUCUUUAUAUUUCACAUACACUGAAAAUCCACUUGAUUAGUUAUAAAUGAACAAAAAGAUGAAAGUGUAUCAGAAACGGACGGAAUUGGGUGGGUCAGAUUUGUGUAAGUACUUUCUGCGUUUAUUUUAGAAGUUGAAUGUUUUAACAAUGUUAAUUUAAUUGCUCUAAAAAGCUGUUCAUCCUAUUGGUGGUUCUGGCCUCAUACUGUGUUAAGGGAGUCAUUUCCGUUACAAGCUAAACCACCGGUCAAUUUCUUUUUUUUUUCUCUUCCUCAAUUUCCUUUUUUCUGUUCUGGAGAGGAUUUAUUAGGCCUGAUCUUAUAUUUAUUUGUUUACAAAGGAAAUAGUAAUUAAAAUUUAUUUCAGAAAGGAUUCACUUUCUAAUUAGUAAAUAAAUUUUAUUUUAACAAAGGAUUAAUGCUGCAAACCAGUGACAUUGAUAGUAUUGAUGAUUGCGAUUUUUUCAAUAGUACAACUAAAGAGGGAGUAAUAGAGUAGUGCUCUUUAUAUUUCACAUACACUCAAAAUCCACUUGAUUAGUUACAAAUGAACAAAAAGAUGAAAGUGUAUCAGAAACGGACGGAAUUGGGUGGGUCAGAUUUGUGUAAGUACUUUCUGCGUUUAUUUUAGAAGUUGAUUGUUUUAACAAUGUUAAUUUAAUUGGUCUAAAAAGCUGUUCAUCUUAUUGGUGGUUCUGGCGUGAUACUGUGUUAAGGGAGUCAUUUCCGUUACAAGCUAAACCACCGGUCAAUUUCUUUUUUUUCUCUUCCUCAAUUUCCUUUUUUCUGUUCUUGAGAGGAUUUAUUAGGCCUCAUCUUAUAUUUAUUUGUUUACAAAGGAAAUAGUAAAUAAAAUUGAUUUAAGAAAGGAUUCACUUCCUAAUUAGUAAAUAAAUUUUAUUUUAAAAAAGAAUUCAUGCUGCAAACCAGUGAAAUUGAUAAUAUUGAUGAUUGCGAUUUUUUCAAUAUUACUACUAAAGAGGGAGUAAUAGAGUAGUGCUCUUUAUAUUUCACAUACACUGAAAAUCCACUUGAUUAGUUACAAAUAAACAAAAAGAUGAAAAUGUAUAAAAAACGGACGGAAUUGGGUGGGUCAGAUUUGUGUAAGUACUUUCUGCGUUUAUUUUAGAAGUUGAAUGUUUUAACAAUGUUGAUUUAAUUGCUCUGAAAAGCUGUUCAUCUUAUUGGUAGUUCUGGCCUGAUACUGUGUUGAGGGAGUCAUUUCCGUUACAAGCUAAACCACCGGCCAAUUUCUUUUUUUUUCUCUCCUUCAAUUUCUUUUUUCUGUUCUAGAGAGGAUUUAUUAGGCCUCAUCUUAUAUUUAUUUGUUUAUAAAGGAAAUAGUAAUAAUUUUUUUAAAGAAAGGAUUCACUUCCUAAUUAGUAAAUAAAUUUUAUUUUAAAAAAGGAUUCAUGCUGCAAACCAGUAAAAUUGAUAAUAUUGAUGAUUGCGAUUUUUUCAAUAGUACUACUAUAGGGGAGUAACACAGUAGUGCUCUUUAUAUUUCACAUACACUGAAAAUCCACUUGAUUAGUUAUAAAUGAACAAAAAGAUGAAAGUGUAUCAGAAAAGGACGGAAUUGGGUGGGUCAGGUUUGUGUAAGUACUUUCUGCGCUUAUUUUAGAAGUUGAAUGUUUUAACAAUGUUGAUUUAAUUGCUCUGAAAAACUGUUCAUCUUAUUGGUGGUUCUGGCCUGAUACUGUGUUAAGGGAGUCAUUUCCGUUACAAGCUAAACCACCGGUCAAUUUCUUUUUUCUUCUCUUCCUCAAUUUCCUUUUUUCUGUUCUAGAGAGGAUUUAUUAGGCCUCAUCUUAUAUUUAUUUGUUUACAAAGGAAAUAGUAAAUAAAAUUUAUUUCAGAAAGGAUUCACUUCCUAAUUAGUAAAUAAAUUUUAUUUUAAAAAAGGAUUCAUGCUGCAAACCAGUGACAUUGAUAAUAUUGAUGAUUGCAAUUUUUUCAAUAGUACAACUAAAGAGGGAGUAAUAGAGUAGUGCUCUUUAUAUUUCACAUACACUUAAAAUCCACUUGAUUAGUUACAAAUGAACAAAAAGAUGAAAGUGUAUCAGAAACGGACGGAAUUGGGUGGGUCAGAUUUGUGUAAGUACUUUCUGCGUUUAUUUUAGAAGUUGAAUGUUUUAACAAUGUUAAUUUAAUUGCUCUAAAAAGCUGUUCAUCUUAUUGGUGGUUCUGGCCUCAUACCGUGUUAAGGGAGUCGUUUCCGUUACAAGCUAAACCACCGGUCAAUUUCUUUUUUUUUCUCUUCCUCAAUUUCCUUUUUUCUGUUCUGGAGAGGAUUUAUUAGGCCUCAUCUUAUAUUUAUUUGUUUACAAAGGAAAUAGUAAAUAAAAUUUAUUUCAGAAAGGAUUCACUUCCUAAUUAGUAAAUAAAUUUUAUUUUAAAAAAGGAUUCAUGCUGCAAACCAGUGAAAUUGAUAAUAUUGAUGAUUGCGAUUUUUCCAAUAGUACAACUAAAGAGGGAGUAAUUGAGUAGUGCUCUUUAUAUUUCACAUACACUGAAAAUCCACUUGAUUAGUUAUAAAUGAACAAGAAGAUGAAAGUGUAUCAGAAACGGACGGAAUUGGGUGGGUCAGAUUUGUGUAAGUACUUUCUGCAUUUAUUUUAGAAGUUGAAUGUUUUAACAAUGUUAAUUUUAUUGCUCUAAAAAGCAGUUCAUCUUAUUGGUGGUUCUGGCCUGAUACUGUGUUAAGGGAGUCAUUUCCGUUACAAGCUAAACCACCGGUCAAUUUCUUUUUUUUUUCUCUUCCUCAAUUUCCUUUUACCUGUUCCGGAGAGGAUUUAUUGGGCCUCAUCUUAUAUUUAUUUGUUUACAAAGGAAAUAGUAAUAAAAUUUAUUUCAGAAAGGAUUCACUUCCUAAUUAGUAAAUAAAUUUUAUUUUAAAAAA